CCCUGAUCACUAGGUAACAGGCAGGACACUGGACUUGUUGCUUAGCAACCUUUGCUAGGGGACGCAAAGAUUCAGUGACCAAGGGUCAUUAAUAAGGCAAACUUGCACUUCAGAGAAUUGACUUCGGAUUGUAACUGGUUUAGACAGGAGUCAGACACAGAGACAGUCCACGGAUUAGCCAAGGCAUGUGGGGACACUCAGCUUGCCGUUCCAACUCACCCCCCUGGACAAUGCUGUCGGGGGUCAAAGACACCCUGUACCACCCCCACCUGCCCACCCUGCGCCGCAUGGACAUGGACACUGACUCAACGGCUCCCAGACGAGCACAGCCGCACCACCACCCCCUGCAGCCGAGAGGACUUCAGGGACUGGUCCAGCUGUUGCCACAAGCUUCCCAAGAGACACUUCAUUGUCACUGACACUUUCCGCAACAAAUAUCUGAGGUCAACAUACCCCUCCACUGCAGAACAGCGCCUCCUUCUGGAUAGUACAGUGGCCUGGUCAGCUAGCCGUCCCUCCACAGAACCUCGUUUCAGUGGAUAUUCUUUGAGGUACUUGAAACCUAACACCCCCAAGUCGUGGAAGGUGUGUGCUUAAAGCAAGCUAUUUUAAAGAUUGAAAAACAGGCUCAAGAUUUACAUUGGUUGCAACUGUGUCUUGCAAGUCACACAGAGAGAUUGUUCUUUAGUCACUUUCCUUAAAAUCACAGUGCAUGAAUAUUUUGUGAACCAAUAAUCAUAAUAGUACAUCAAAAAGCUAAUUUCACAUUUAACUUUCAUAACAGUAGUGGAACCACUUUAAUGUUUCUAAAACUGUAUUUAUACAGCAUCUGUUUACAAUCUUUGUUGUUUAGUGAAUGUUGUGAAUCUGGGCCCUAUUCAUUACGUUUUUAACUCCCACUUUAAAAAAACCAACAGCAGUCUAUUGUGAAUAUCAACAUAUAUGUAAAAAUAGUCUUUACAUUACUCUCCAGUAAGAGCUUUGUGAGCAAGGCCAAUAUCAUUAAAAGGAAGUGUUUGAACUUUGAGGCUCACUUCUGCAUCCCUGAAGGCCAAUAAAUUUCAAUUACCACAUGCCCUCUCUUUCAGUUUUGCCUCACUCACAACCCCAGCUUGGAUCAAUAUGGGCCGAAGCCUAUGGCCUUUCACACUUUGUAAGUCAAACAAACAUUUGACUAGCACUGGACAAAUCUCCCUUGCU